rnacentral:rRNA from 1 species
GAUUAGAUACCCGCGUAGUCCUAGCCGUAAACGAUACUCGCUAGGUGUCGGCCACGGUGCGACCGUUGUCGGUGCCGUAGGGAAGCCGUGAAGCGAGCCACCUGGGAAGUACGGCCGCAAGGCUGAAACUUAAAGGAAUUGGCGGGGGAGCACCACAACGGGUGGAGCUUGCGGUUUAAUUGGAUUCAACGCCGGAAAUCUUACCGGGACCGACAGCAAUAUGAAGGCCAGGCUGAAGACUUUGCCGGAUUAGCUGAGAGGUGGUGCAUGGC